GCCUCUUGAUUUAAACCAUAAGAGGUCCAGCCUGCCCAGUGACAUUGUUCAACGGCCGCGGUAUCCUAACCGUGCGAAGGUAGCGUAAUCACUUGUCCUUUAAAUAAGGACCAGUAUGAAUGGCCCCACGAAAGCUAUGCUGUCUCCUUUUUCUAAUCAGUUAAACUAAUCUCCCCGUGAAGAAGCGGAGAUAAACAUAUAAGACGAGAAGACCCUAUGGAGCUUCAAACAACUGAAACACUUGUAUAUCCUCCCACCUACCUACAUUUAACCCCACAUUUUGUUUCUAGUUUUAGGUUGGGGUGACCACGGAGAAAAAACCAACCUCCACGACGAAAGAGAUAUUUCUAAACAAAAAGCUACAUCUUUAUGUAUUAAUACAUUAACCUUUAUUGACCCAAUAAAUUGAUCAACGAACCAAG
rnacentral:rRNA from 1 species